rnacentral:rRNA from 1 species
AAUGAACGUUGGCGGCAUGGAUUAGGCAUGCAAGUCGAGCGAGAAGGGUUUUGAAGCUUGCUUUAGAACCCGGACAGCGGCGAAAGGGAGAGUAACGCGUAGUUAUGUGCCCUAGGGUCCGGCAUAGCCACGGGAAACUGUGGGUAAUGCCGGAUAACAUCCCCGGAUCAAAGGUGUGAUUCCGCCCUAGGAGCAGACUGCGUCCUACUAGCGAGUUGGUGGGGUAAUGGCCCACCAAGGCAAUGAUGGGUAGCGGGUGGGAGAGCAUGACCCGUCUCACUGGGACUGAGACACUGCCCAGACACCGACGGGUGGCUGCAGUCGAGAAUCUUCGGCAAUGGGCGAAAGCCUGACCGAGCGAUGCCGCGUGCGGGAUGAAGGCCCUCGGGUUGUAAACCGCUGUCGUAGGGGAGGAAGGUUCCGUGAAGAGCGGAAUUUGACCUAUCCUAGGAAGAAGUACGGGCUAAGUUCGUG